rfam:Triticum aestivum genome assembly, contig: Triticum_aestivum_CS42_TGACv1_scaffold_500368_6BL
GCAAUACUCCCUCCGUCCGAAAAUACUUGUCCUGUAUCUAGACUUAUUUUAGUUAUAGAUACAUCCAUUUUAUUCAUUUCUAGGACAAGUAUUUCCGGACGGAGGGAGUACAAC